AUACACCUAAUAAUAUUACAACAGUUUUUUUUCUCGAUUUUCGUAUUUAAGUACCAUUACAGUGGAAAUAUCGUCGUAAUCUCGUGACGCGACACGCUAUUUAUUGUGCAAUACAAUCGCUUAAAGGUUUUUCACAGAAUUAUACGAUUAAUCGAUCCGGUGAAAAAAUAAUUGUUGUAGUAACAGUCAAUAUUUAAACUACCAUUGAACAAUCACACGGCGCGCAGCGCCUUCCGGCCUUGCGAGAAAAAUAACAGACUUACAGCCUGAAUAUUACGGGAGCCAUACGAACAAACAUGCAAUCCAACCGAGUUUUCACGGAAAUACGUCAAAUACGGCGCUAAAAAUGAUGAUGAAAAAAAAAUCCUCUUUCCAUUUUGUAACAUCACAUACGAGAGUGCAUAUAUUUAGGUUUUCGUUUUUAUGACGACCUAGUUAUUAUCAAAUAGUCCUAUGAGAAUUGUGUACGGGGCUCAGUGCAAUUAUGUUCCAGUUCCAGUUCCAGUUCAUCAGUUCGACGACACUGAUCCUUUGGGCCUACACUUGUUUAUAGUUAUUAAUUAACUAUAUAUAUUGCGCACUCUGUACAAUUUGUACGAAAAGCAAAAAUAAUAAAUCAACGAGGUCAAGUGGUGACCAACACUUUUUGAAUUUGAUAUCGGUGUGUUGUACCUGACACUCGUACAUGGAUCGUGCAUAAACCAGAAGAAAACUUUAUAAACACGACUCUAAUGAACUCUAACUUGCACAUCGAUUGAAUAGUGAUUA